GAUUCCUGACCCUGCCUCUUUAGGAUCCGCACGUUGCUGCCUUUCAGCCUCCAAACCUUCGCUCUGGCCGUUCUCUCCACCUGGAAUACCCUUCCGAGCCUCUCUUCACCUCCAUGUCAUUAACUCGCAUACAUCCUUUCAGAUAUUUCCUGAGGGCUUGUGAUUUGCCAGAUCCUGUACCAGGUGCUGGAACUUGGUGAUAGACAAUCCACAGUCUCUGCUCUGAAGACAUCCAUGCAGGUUACAUACACGGGCGGUGCAGCGGAGAGCGCGGCGGCGAAGUUUCAGGCCCCUGCCCAGCCCCACUCGCCGCAGCCAGGUAGCCCCUCCACCCUUCCUGCCCGGAAGUCCUGCGCGCUCCACCCAAGGACAGGUGGGUUAGCCAGGGCACGCCCACUUCCGUCUCAUUAGCCUAUCGAAUACGUUAUGCAAAUUGACACACGACCCCGCGCCUCACGACAACCAAUGGUUGCGGAGGCGCCGCAGGUCGCCCAGGUUCCCGUUCUCAGGAUGCUCUGGGAGCUCUGCCACGUUUCUGCUGUGGCAGGAAGAACUGAAAUUCCAGAAGCCGGAGAAACAAGCCGCCGUCAAGACUGCUGAAGCGAGGCCUACGGCCCUGUAAUCACACAAGCUCAGGCUUCACGGAAGCUGGAGGCCAUGUCGCCUGAUCCCCGGGCUGACCCCUUCCCUCCCUCCGCGUAGUUCCUGCCAAGCUCCAGGUGCCCGGUGCCCACGUAGUCUCGGUGAACGCAGAGAAAUCACUGCAGAUGUAGCCACGCUUCUCUGAGUUAAGGACUCGGCGUCCGCAGGAGAGCCAAGGCCUCGCUGCUGGGGGUCAGAGCCUCUCAGAGAACAAGAGGCAAGUCCAAGUUCUGCCUCCACCACUUGUUAGCUAUGCGACUUUGGGCAAUCCGCGUCACCUUUCCAAGCCUCAUUUUCCUCAUCUGGAAAAUAGGAAUAAUAACACUGCCCUCCCAGCUACGAUAUGAGGACCAAUGGCUAGUCAAAUGGAAAACACGAGGGUCUUUGCAAGCCAUUGUGCUUGGUGGUUAAGAGUAUCACUUCGGUUAGACAGAUUUGAAUUCAAAUCCUGCUUUUCCCAGUUACUUGUGUUCCAACCUUAAGCAAAUCACUUACUUUAUCUUCUGAUUCUCACUUUCUUCAACUGUAAAGAAUUCCAUGGGCUGUUGUUAGGAUUAAAUGAGUUAAGGUUUA
rnacentral:lncRNA from 1 species